AUACGUAGGGUGCAAGCGUUAAUCGGAAUUACUGGGCGUAAAGCGUGCGCAGGCGGUUUUGUAAGACAGAGGUGAAAUCCCCGGGCUCAACCUGGGAACUGCCCUUGUGACUGCAAGGCUAGAGUACGGCAGAGGGGGAGGGAAUUCCGCGUGUAGCAGUGAAAUGCGUAGGUAUGCGGAGGAACACCGAUGGCGAAGGCAAUCCCCUGGGCCUGCACGGACGCUCAUGCACGAAAGCGUGGGGAGCAAACAGGAUUAGAUACCCUGGUAGUCCACGCCCUAAACGAUGUCAACUGGUUGUCGGGGAAGCAAUUCCUUGGUAACGAAGCUAACGCGUGAAAUUGACCGCCUGGGGAGUACGGCCGCAAGGUUAAAACUCAAAUGAAUUGACGGGG
rnacentral:rRNA from 1 species